rnacentral:lncRNA from 1 species
UCAACCAGCAUGUUCUCAAUGCAUGAAUAAAAAUGGAAGCUGUAGAGUUGACGCUUGUGCAGUAUUGUAUGGAGCCCAUACGUGUUGGCUCUUUUCCUCCCUAAUAUUUCUAAUUAACUUCUUAACUUUUUCAAUUUAAAAAUAUUUUAAGCGAAGAAGAUUCAUCCUCCAUAGUGGGUCCCACUGUCCAAUCAUAAAACUGGACCGUGUGGUUGCACAAAUAGUAGGGUCCCGCGUGUCCAUUAAGUCUAGAAAGCAGCCAAUCAUACUCUUGUUACAAUGUUCCACGUCUCUCUCUCUCAUUCCCCA